CCUACGGGAGGCUGCAGUGAGGAAUAUUGGUCAAUGGGCGUAAGCCUGAACCAGCCAAGUCGCGUGAGGGAUGAAGGUUCUAUGGAUCGUAAACCUCUUUUAUAAGGGAAUAAAGUGCGGGACGUGUCCCGUUUUGUAUGUACCUUAUGAAUAAGGAUCGGCUAACUCCGUGCCAGCAGCCGCGGUAAUACGGAGGAUCCGAGCGUUAUCCGGAUUUAUUGGGUUUAAAGGGUGCGUAGGCGGCCUUGUAAGUCAGCGGUGAAAGUCUGUGGCUCAACCAUAGAAUUGCCGUUGAAACUGGGAGGCUGCGGUAUGGUUGAGGCAGGCGGAAUGCGUGGUGUAGCGGUGAAAUGCUUAGAUAUCACGCAGAACCCCGAUUGCGAAGGCAGCCUGCCAAGCCAUGACUGACGCUGAUGCACGAAAGCGUGGGGAUCAAACAGGAUUAGAUACCCGAGUAGUC
rnacentral:rRNA from 1 species